GACCGCCCACGCCCCGGCCCGCGGCGCGUCCCGGACGUCCACGCUUGCGUUUCUGCGGAUCGUGGGAAUCCUUCUGCGUGGGAGUUUUAGAAAUGCUAACCGAGCUCAGGUUUUGAACAUGUCUGGGACUGUGAAUUGGCUGCCAGAAUGAAAACAGUUUAGGCUAAUCCCUACGGGUAUGCUGCUGCCAAGUUGGUUCUUUUACUGUGCUCAUCAGAAGUGCCAGAAAAAUACCCGCACCCGCCCCCCAUUUAGCCUCUGGAAGAAGAUGUUCUAAAGGGCUCACAAACAUCCAGAUGUAGCUCUUACCAAGCUCCAGCGUCAGAAGGAGUGCCUCAGCGUCUAAGUCCGUAUAUACACACACGGCUUUUCAUGCAUCCUCUGCUGGGGAGGUCACAAUCUGAGGCACCCUUUAAAGCCACUUCUGGGAGAAAAGAAAGAGAAAAAAAAAAAUCAACCACUGAACGUCUAGUGAGCUGUUUCCUAAGGAGGCAUCAACAAACUCCUACCAGCCCCAGUCCUCAGUAACGUCAUGAGAUGGGCUGCUUGUGGUUGUCAAAACUGAUCUUCCCACUGCGGGUGAACACGUACGGCGGAUUGUUAUGGCUUAGGGCGCUUGACUGCACCGCUGUGAAAAUAUUCAGCAGAAUUCCACAAGCUCUUUGUUUGCCUUGCCUUAGUGGAAAUUCCUCCAGCUAUCCAAACACGCACCUGGGGGAGGUGUUUUUUUUUUCCCCCUCCACAUUUCAGGAAGGGGUUUCUUCUAAGUAAAAAUGUGUCCUUACCUCUCUUCUAAGUUCUCAGGCAAGACUUCUGGUUUGAGUUGAAGAUGACUAUGAAUGUGUUCUGGUUGGAAAGGGAGGUGGAGUUGGAGGAGCCGGAGAGGUCUGUAGCAAAUGUUCCUCCAACAGAGCUAAGCUGGGAAAAGGAAAGCCAAUGGAAGCCAACAAAGAAGGAAGCACGAAGCAAGGCUCCCCCAGAUUCCUAGAAGCCCAGGAACACAAAAGCCAGGAAGAUGAAUCGUCUUUUACAGUAGUAGACCUGUAUAUAGGAACGGGGAAGAUUCUAGGGUGAAAGAUCCGGGCUGCCGCUGGUCACCCAGAAGGGAGUAUGUACCUUGAGUUUCGUAACACGGAAUGGAAGUUUGGAGGCCCCUUGAAAAGAACCAAAGCACAAAGGAAGUUGGGCCUGAAGAAGGCUGGGAGACCUCUCACGCAGAGACCCAGGGCUCAGGACAGAGAAAGGAAGGUAGAACGCCAAGUGGAUCUCAUAUUUGCUCUGCGGGCUUCUGGGAAGUGUUUGAAAACAUUCUAUUUAAACUGUGCCUCUUAAGAGAGCUCUCCACUUACAUCUAACUCAGUGUGCUCAUAUUAGCAAAUAGAAAUUAUGGGAACAUUCCAAGUGCUCCCCGCCUUCCUGGUCCUCCCUCCCUGACCCCGAUAGUCUGUCCUGCCUGGAGUCUGGGCGAAUGUUUGUUUCUGAGGGAUGGAAACUGAUUAAAAACUAGAAGGCUGCUUGGGAAAAAUUUUAUAAUAGCAUGUGUGAGGUGAGUUCCACAGAAGGCUAGGGAGGGCAGGAAGGCCCCGUGCAGCCAGGGCUCCAUGCAGGCCAUCUGAAAAAAGAGGCUCCUCUUCCAACCCAGAGCUGUUGUCUUAAUUGUGGUGGAACUGCUUUUCAUAUUCCCUUAGCUUUUUAACACUAAACCAAGAUGAGAAAUUGAGAAAUGAACAUUUGUUUGGUUUUUUUUCUUUUUUUCUUUUUUUUUUUUUUUUUGAGACAGGGUUUCUCUGUGUAGCCCUGGCUGUCCUGAACUCACUCUGUAGACCAGGCUGACCUCGAACUCAGAAAUCCACCUGCCUCUGCCCCCCAAUUAAAGGCGUGCGCCACCACUGCCCGGCUUGAACAUUUGUUUUCAAGCACAUAAGGCUGAUGUGUUCAGGUAGUACGUUUAAUACUCGAUUGGUGGCAUAUAUAUAUUAAAAGGGAUGUUAAAUUGCUCAA
rnacentral:lncRNA from 1 species